rnacentral:rRNA from 1 species
UACGAAGGGAGCGAGCGUUGUUCGGAAUCACUGGGCUUAAAGCGUGCGUAGGCGGAUAAGAAAGUCAGGAGUGAAAUCCCCGAGCUCAACUUGGGAACUGCUUCUGAAACUUCUUAUCUAGAAUCCGGUAGGGGUUGAUGGAAUAUCCAGUGUAGAGGUGAAAUUCGCAGAUAUUGGAUGGAACACCAGUGGCGAAGGCGAUCAGCUGGGCCGGAAUUGACGCUGAGGUACGAAAGCGUGGGGAGCAAACAGG